rnacentral:misc_RNA from 1 species
AACGUAGGAGACAAACGUUAUCCGGAAUUACUGGGCGUAAAGCGCGCGUAGGUGGUUUGUUAAGUUGGAUGCGAAAGCCCCGGGCUCAACCUGGGAACUGCAUCCAAAACUGGCAAGCUAGAGUACGGUAGAGGGUGGUGGAAUUUCCUGUGUAGCGGUGAAAUGCGUAGAUAUAGGAAGGAACACAAGUGGCGAAGGCGACCACCUGGACUGAUACUGACACUGAGGUGCGAAAGCGUGGGGAGCAAACAGG